GUUGGAGUGCUUAAUCUGUUCCUUUACAUGAUAAUGUAUACUCAGAUGCAUCUUGUAAUGUGCAAUUGCAAGUUUCCAAAUACAUGCAAAGUAAAGUAAAGAAAGCAAUACUUUUCAACUGUUGGUUACAUGGCACAUGUAUUAAAGCCUUCUGUCACAGUUGACUCAGCAAGAAUGAAGACAUUGAUACACUUUUGCAUUUAGGAAUACACAAGUGGGAAUACACAAGUGGGAAUACACAAGUGUUCCUCGCCCACUGCCACCCAAAUACAGGUAGGUAUGCAUGCAUACACAACCCUCAAAAUUAGUAAAACUAAAAUGAGUUAUAAAUUGUCGACAUUUUAAGAUAUGAAAAGAUAUUAUUGUUAAAUUUUGAGUUUGUAAAAUUUAUUUUCAGGUAUAAGAAAUCCUUAUCUCUACGUAACAGACGAUGGAGACGAAGUGAUUAUUAUGUGUGGCAAAAGAUUAUUUUAUGAA
rnacentral:lncRNA from 1 species